AAUGUACUCCCUCCGUCUCAAAAAUCUUGUCCUAGAUUUGUCUAAAAAUUGAUGUAUCUAAAUACUAAAAUGCGACUAGAUACAUUCAUAUCUAGACAAAUCUAAGACAAGAAUUUUAAGACGGAGGGAGUAUAUA
rfam:Hordeum vulgare subsp. vulgare, WGS project CAJW01000000 data, contig: morex_contig_65881